rnacentral:rRNA from 1 species
GACAGAGGUGCCGAGCGUUAGGCGGAAUCACUGGGCUUAAAGCGUGUGUAGGCGGACCCGUCAGUGUCUUGUGAAAUCCCACCGCUCAACGGUGGAACGGCUGGGCAUACUGCGGGUCUUGAGGGACCCAGGGGCGAGCGGAACAAGCGGUGGAGCGGUGAAAUGCGUAGAUAUGUGGAGGAACACCAGUGGCGAAGGCGACUUUCUGGCCUAUAACUGACGCUGAGGCGCGAAAGCGUGGGGAGCAAACAGG